rnacentral:rRNA from 1 species
GGAUUAGAAACCCGGGUAGUCCACGCCCUAAACGAUGUCAACUGGUUGUCGGGUCUUCAUUGACUUGGUAACGAAGCUAACGCGUGAAGUUGACCGCCUGGGGAGUACGGUCGCAAGAUUAAAACUCAAAGGAAUUGACGGGGACCCGCACAAGCGGUGGAUGAUGUGGAUUAAUUCGAUGCAACGCGAAAAACCUUACCUACCCUUGACAUGUACGGAACCUGGCUGAGAGGCCGGGGUGCCCGAAAGGGAGCCGUAACACAGGUGCUGCAUGGCUGUCGUCAGCUCGUGUCGUGAGAUGUUGGG